GGGUUCCCCUAGUAACGGCGAGUGAAGCGGGAUGAGCUCAAGCUUAAAAUCUCUGUCACAAAUUUAUUUUGUGCGGCGAAUUGUAGUCUAUAGAAGCGUGGUCAGUGUAGGCGCUUGGGUUAAGUUCCUUGAAAAAGGACAGCAUCGAGGGUGAUACUCCCGUUUGUACCUAAGUGUCUUAUGCGUACGACCCGUUUUCUUUGAGUCGCGUUGUUUGAGAAUGCAGCGCAAAGUAGGUGGUAAAUUCCAUCUAAAGCUAAAUAUUGGUGCGAGACCGAUAGCGAACAAGUACCGUGAGGGAAAGAUGAAAAGAACUUUGAAAAGAGAGUUAAAGAGUACCUGAAACUGCUGAAAGGGAACCGGAUCGUUUCUAGUGUCUAUAAUCCGUGACAUAUUUCAUUGGCGGGCGUGUGCGUAUGUGUACUAUGGCAGCGGCUAAUUGGCUGCGCUUGGUGUGCGUGCUGUGUGUGCUUACUGGUGCCCUGUGUUAUGGUGGGACGUCAAGGUCAGUUCGUAUGCUGCGGGAAAUGGCUGCUGAGGAGGUAGGGCUUACGCUUGCGUUUGUCUGUUAUAUCUUGGUGGUUUUGUCGUGGUUGGGACUGAGGUGUUCUACAACGUGCUCUUGAGUAGGUCUGCGUCUCCGUGUGCACCGUGUGCAGAUAGCUUGCUAUGUGUGUGUGGUUGUGUGUGGAUUGAUGCGGGCUUGAACUUGUUGCCGUUCGGGACUUUGACGAAAUAGAGCGAUUUGACCCGUCUUGAAACACGGACCAAGGAGUCUAACAUAUGUGCAAGUGUUAGGGUGUGGAAACCCCAGCGCGAAAUUAACGUAAAGGAUAGCGUAAGCUGUCUUAGGUAGGAAACGUUGCGGAUUUCGGUCUGUGGCGUGGCACUAUCGACCGAUCAUGAACCUUCGUGGUGAAAGAUUUGAGUUUGAGCACAUAUGUUGGUACCCGAAAGAUGGUGAACUAUGCCUGAGUAGGGUGAAGCCAG
rnacentral:rRNA from 1 species